GUCUAUAGUGGAUAGCUCAGUUGAUUAGAGCAUGAUGCUGAUAGCAAGGUUACAGGUUCAAUUCCCAUGUGGGACA